rnacentral:misc_RNA from 1 species
CAACCCUCAAGCUCUGCUUGGCAUUGGGUGUCACUUAACAUGGUGCAUCUUAAAAUUAGUGGCGGUGCCAUCUGGCUUCAAGCGUAGUAACAUUUCUCGCUUUGGAAGUUUUGGGUGUGUGCUUGCCAAUAACCCUCUAAUUUAUCCAAA